GAGAUUAUAUAGUAAAGAUGAUGAACCAGCUGUAAAACUACAACUACUACCACAUAAACAUGAUAUCAUCACACUUCUUGGUGUUGGAGGCCACUGGGUAACAACAGAAGAAAACCUUCAGUUGGAUCCUCCAGAUAGCCACUGCCUUUUCCUCAAGGGAGCAACGUUAGCUUUCCUGAAUGAUGAAGUUUGGAAUUUGUCAAAUGUACAACAGGGAAAAUAUCUUUACAGUAUUCCAAGUGCCUUGCAACUACGUAUCUUAAAGGAUGUGAUGGAGAAGUUAUCAACUGGUGUUUUCAGACCUCAGUUGGAUGAACCCAUUCCACUGUAUGAGGCAAAAGUUUCCAUGGAAGCUGUUCAGAAAAAUCAAGGAAGAAAAAAGCAAGUUGUUCAAUUUUAAUUUUCUUCUUUCUCAGACCUCAGUCGGAUGAACAUAUUCCAGUAUUUGAAGCC
rnacentral:lncRNA from 1 species